rnacentral:lncRNA from 1 species
ACUGUUGUGAAACGAUUCAUACUGCAAGCCGCCUAAAUGCAGGGCUUUUGAUGAUAUUCCCCGCCAACAAGGGUGUUUUGAAGAGAGUGAAGGAAACAGACAGGACUUUGAAAGGAAAAACAGACAUCUAAUUGGCUGUCUCUUGCCGACCCUCCAGUGACCCUGCACUGAAUACCUCUAAUGGACGUGUGUGAUCUUGGAGCCUCUACCGCAAUAAACGAGUUUUAGACUUUCAACUUGUUUUUGCAGCAGAAUUCUUUAUUCUCCUUAAAAUUGAUUUUUUAAAAAACGAGUGAGCAAGGCAUUAGCAUAGGUAUUUUACACAAAAGGGUGAAAUGGUUUUCUAAUUUUAUAGAUUUAAUAUUUUUAAAAAGAAUUUGGCUUCAUUAUGAAUUUAGUUCAUGUUAGUGUGUCAUUUUACAUACUCUAAAAAGUGGUUUUUUUAAUAUGGAAAGCAAAUAUUUGCCUUCAAAGCAGUAGUUUCUAAAUCCAAAAAGUUCAGAAAGUCAGUUAGGAGGCAAUAAUCUUAACUCCAAAAAUUAAUAACUCUCAUGACAUUGUUUAUGUGAAACCUUGGAACUUCCUGUGCUGUAAACCAUCUUUGAGUCAAGCUAGAAAAUAGUAAGAGUCAACUCAAAUCCUUUAUGCUUCAAAAAACACAUGAGACUAUUGAACAGGCUUUAUUAAGUGAUGUGGGGGUUAACGGUGAAAGCCCCCAUUUCUAUUUUUGUCAAAAGACUAGGAGCCUCAUCCCCAUCAGAGAGCUUUGCAUUUCCCCUGCCACCUUAACUUCCUGGGAACUGCCAGGGUACACUACCUCCUUUCUUUUCUUCUUUUCUCCCUUUUCACUAUCUAGCAUUUCUUCCCUUUUAUUGUUCUUUCUUCACGUCCAUGUUGACCUUUUUUUUUUUAACUUAUCAUCUAGGAUGAGUCAAGGCCUGCCUUGAUGUUGCUCUGUGUCCUACCAGCAAUUCUUCCUGGAAUCGUCUGUUCACAUGGAUGUCUAAAUGUUUAAGCACCCAUGUAAAUACUAUGGUAUCACUUUCUCAUCAGUAGAGCUUUUGUGAGUUACAGAAAGGCUGAGACCAAUGCCACAAUUUGAGAUUCCAAUAUGUGAAAUAAUAAAGACAUCCCCUAACAGGACUUUUUAAUAAAUUAGGCUUUAACAUUUGAUAUUUAUAAUGUUUUCUGAGAGUGUUCAAUAUAACAGAGAGUAGUAUUCCAGUUAUUAUAUAUAUUUAUUUGGAAAUAAUGCCAAAACUCUACAUUGUAGGCAUGAAGGUGGGGCUUGCCUCCAUCUGGCUCUCCUGCCACUUUCAACAACACACCCCACAUCCGAUCCUGCUUAGAGUCGAAGAUGAAUCUGGCAUAAUACAAACAGCACUGGACUGGAAGCAUGAAGUUUCUCUUAUCUGUGCCUUGGUUUCCUCAUGUGGAAAAUGAAAAUGUUGACAUAAAUAAUCACACAGGUCUCUGUUAGUACCAUUUUGUGAUUUUAUAUCGUGCUUACCACACCUAGAAACAGGGGCCAUCAUUCCAGCCAGCUAACAGAGAAAAAGACGAUACAUAAUCAGGCUUGGGAAAAUAAAUUUCAGAGACCAAGUAAACAAAGACAACAAUCUAGUAUAAGGGUUAUAACUGGGGGAUGAGGGGUUGCAAAUGGAGAUCUGCCACAGUCAACUCUAUUUGGAUUCCCCUGUUCUCAACAGGCAACAGCAAUCAUAAUGGGCUUGGAGCACCAGUCCCACAACAUCACAGGACAUCCAGACAUAAUUGCAUUAAUAAUGUUGUGCAUAAUCGCACAACUCUCUGGUUAUUCAGCAUCGUCCAAUAUGUGAAUAAAGCUCUGAGGAAAAAUUAAUGCUUGCUUAAUGCUUUGACACAUUUCCCUUUACAAAGCAAAGAUCCCUACUCCUCUCACUUUCUCACAUGGAGAAAAAAUUAAAGUAGCAUUACAACUAGUCAGCAUCCACAUGAGGCCUUAUAAUUAAUCAGAUCUACUGAGAGUUAGGUCCAAGAUCCAGCGUAAGGAGAGAUCAAGCAGAAACAAAAUACACAGCCAUUGCUCUGUAUCUGUAGGAGAUUGGUUCCAGAACCCCCUUCAAUACCAAAAUCUGCAGAUGCUCAAGUGCCUUAUAUAAGAUGGUAUAGUAUUUGCAUAUAACCUACGCAUACCCUCCUGUAUACUUUAAAUCAUCUCUAGAUUACUUACAAUACCUAAUAUAAUGUGAGUGCUACGUAAAUGGUUAUACUGCAUUUUUAUUUGUAUUACUUUUAUUGUUGUAUUAUUACUUCUUUUUUUUUUUUACAAUUAUUUUUAAUCUGUGGUUGCUCAAAGCUGCAGAUGUGGAACCCAGGAAUAUGGAGGCCCAACUGUACUUUUACCUUAUUAUGUAGGCUAUGCUAAUAUUAAUGACUAGAAUGUUAUAUUAUUUCUUCUCAGAUUUCAACAACAGUUGAGCCUCAGGGUCAAAGUAUCCGGCACUAAAUUGAAGAGAAUGCUGAUGAUUAGGACAGGAAAGCAACUUAAGCAUCUAUUAGUCCAGCCUACUAUGAAAAGUAGGAAUUCCUUCAACAAAAUUCUCGCACAUGCCUAUCCAACUUCCCAAUGACUAAAGCAAUAACAACAGUAAUGAUAAUAAUGAACACAUAUUUCAUACUUACUGUGUGCCAGACACUGUCCUAAGUAUAUUGAGUAGUACUGACUGUGAAUCAGCACUGUUCCUAGAACUUCAUAGACACUCAACUUAUUGAAUCUUGAAAAUGCCUCUAGGAGGUAGGAUCUAUUAUUGCUCUUAUUUUAUAGAUGAAUCAAUGGAAACAGAAAAGAGUUCACUAACUUGCCAGAGGUCACACAGAUAGACUGAGAAGAGCUGGACAAUUGCACUAAACAGACUAGCCCUGUAGCCUGUCCUGCUAAUUCUAUGCUACCAAUAGGGGCAAGGGACAGAGACAAAGUAGGGAAUUAGAGUCCAUUUCAACACUACUUUAAUUACUCAGUUUUCUGAGCAGAAGCUGCCUCCUUUAGUCUUCAUAUUGCCCACUAGUUCUAAACAGAAUAAUUAUUCCUCCUUCCAUUUGACAGUGCUUUUUUAUCAAAGAUUGACAAACUAUGGCUCGUAGGCCAAAUCUGGCCCACCAUCUGUUUUUAUGUGGGCCAUGAGCUAAGAAUGGAUUUCAAGUUUUCAAAUGGUUGGAAAAAAUAUCAAAAGAAGAAUAAUAUUUUGUGACACAUGAAAAUCACAUGACAUUUAAAUCUCAGUGUCCAUAAAUGAAGUCUUAUUGGAACACAAUCACACUUCACUUACAUAUUGUCUGUGGCUGCUUUUACUUUACUAUAAGUCGGAAUUAAGUACUUGAAAAAAGACCACAUGGCCCAGUAAAGCCUAAAAUAUUUACUAUCUGGCCCAUUGCAGAGAAUGUUUGCUGAUUCUUGCCUUAAAUAGUAGAAGGUAGUUCUCCUGUCCUUUCCUAAAAGUGCCCUUUUUUAUAGUAAAAUACCUCAGGUCCCCCCAACCACCACCAUCUCAUUAUCCCGGAAACUCUUCUCUGGCAUUCUUUGGUGCAUAUUCUCUCUCUCUAAAAAUUCUCCUCAGUGGUAUAUGGCUACAAUGGAAUACUACUCAACAAUAAAAAGGAACAAACUACAGUGGAUACACACAACAACAUAAUGAAUCUCCAAACCACUAUUCUGAGUGAAAAAGCCCUGCACAUCUUUUUCUCACUGCGUGAUUGUAUCUACAGGAAAUCCUAAAAUGGGUAAAACUAAUCUAGGGUGAAAAAUUAUAUAUCAGAAUAAUGGUUGUCUUUGGGAAAAUGGGGCAAGGAUUGGUGGGAUGGGCAUGAGAGAACAAUCUGGGAUGCUAGAAACAUCCCAGAUCUUGAGAGUUGUUUGGGUUACACAGUUGUGUGUAUUUGCCAAAAUCCACCAAAAUGUACAUAGUUUGUACAUUAUACUGUAUCUACCUCAAAAACAAACCUUGUAAAUAAAUAUUGAAUUCUAGUUAAUGAUCUGCAUACUGAAAGGUUUAGUGGUAACAGUAUCAAGGCCUGCAACUCAUUUGAAAUGCAUCAGAAAAUCAAGACGGUUGGAUGAUUGGGUGGAGGGAGGGACAGAUGGCAAGAGAUAUGAAAAAGCAAGAGAAGUAAAGUGUUCAUUGUCGAAAGUGGUUGAUGGAUACCUGGAUGUUCACUAUCUAAUUCUUUCACCUCCUCUGUUUAAGUCUUGUGACAACAAAAUUUCCUUCUAAAAUAACAUUUUCAAAGUAAAAUUUUUAUAAUAAAUGGGGCAGAAAGGAUAAAAGUAAUGUCUGGCAUGAAACAAACUACUCUAAAAGUUGCACAAAGCGACAUCACUAUUUCCCUUCCUUUGGCCAUUUUUAUGUUAGCAUUUAUUUUCCUUUGAUGUAUCUGAUUGGACCCUGAAGUAUCCUACCUUCAAGGUAUCCAAAAAGGUAUCUUGGGUAUCACCGUUAGGACUAGUGAUGAGAAUUUAUUCUAUGAUGGAAUCUAAUUCCAUGGCAAGUGGCCAACUUUCAUUUCUUUGUUUAAAUUUUAUGAUAAGAGAUGCAUACAGUGAAAGACAUAGAAACAUCCCCAGUCAGAUGCCUCCGCCAAAUCCGCUUGUGGAAAACUGUAAAUUCCACAAGUGAGUUUACGCUCUUGUCUCAUGAAUGUGUAGAAAGAAUAAUGCAUUUGUUUGUUUGAUUAUAGCUGAAUUUCUGCCUUUGUAACCCCACCAGUAGGUGGUCAUGUAUUUCUCAUACUAAGGUUCACUACCACUUCACAAACAAUAUGCUCAACACUGUUGCAAGCAUCAGAUGAGAGUGUGUGCCUGACAAAAAUUUGAAAAAGUCCUCAAAAUAUGCAGCCUAAUCUCUGGAUUAACUGUUUCUUUAAAGGGCCUCUGCAGUGUAUAAUCUGCAGACUUGUUCUGUUGCUUUUAUGCAAUGCCAAUAUUAUUAGUAGCAAUAAUACAAUCACGCUUCAACUAUUUGGAGGUCAAUUAGCUGGAAAGUUCUGCCUUCUGAAUGGAAGCUAAGAAACCAGUAAGUAAGCAAGAAAAAUCCUGUGGGCAGUCAAAAUAGCUGCAAAAGCUUCAGGGUGCCAAGCUCAUAUAUUUGCUCAUGGAAGACUCUCUAAAGCCAAUGCUCAAAAUCCUAUGACACUUAUUUAUGCAAAAUUCUAACAAGCCUGGGUUUCCAGCUCAUAACCCUAACAGAGGUUGCAUAUAGGCAGGCAUGGUGAAAGCACCAAGAAUCAGAAGAGUAAUCAGCCAUCAUUCAAAACUCAAAAAGGACUACAAUUUGGGAGGAUGGAAUUCAGGGGUGGAAAAGUCCACCCUAAUGCUACCAAGUUAACAUUUUAUAAACUAUGUUCCUAAAAUUAUAGUUCCACAAGAUAUUAAAGAAGGUUUUUUAAAAAUAAAAAAGAGGACUGGGAGUGGUGACUCACACCUGUAAUCCCAACACUUUGAGAGGCUGAGGCAGGAGGAUUGCCUGAGCCCAGGAGUUCUAGACCAGCCUUGGCAGGAUAGUGAGACCCCCUCUCUACUAAAAACCAAAAAAAUCAGUUGGGUGUGGUGGCAUGCGCCUGUGAUCCCAGCUAGUCAGGGAGCUGAGGUGAGAGGAUCACUUGAGCCCAGGAGGUCGAGACUGCAGUGAGCUGUGAUCGUGCCACUGCACUCCAGCCUGGGUGACAGAGCAAGACUGUAUCUCAAAAAAUUAAAAAAAGUAAAAAUUAAAAAUAAGAGGAGGUGCUAUCCUCAGAUAUGUUUAGAAAAUACCGGUCUAAUAGUGCUUCAAUAUUUCUAUUGUGAUUCUAGCAAGUUCUAAAAAGAACACUGGUUUUGUGGUUGUUCUUCCUUUCCUCACUCCACAUUUUUUCUUUUAUUUUGGCUGAAACUUACAGAUAUUUUUUUUUUCUCAUCAUAAUGAUGUCCAUCAGUCUGCCCGAAUCUUCUGGUCUGGGUGUGGCUCUGACUUUUCAAAUACCCUUCUUAAGCAGGUGUUUCCUCUCCUGCCCCAAACAUUGUAUUCCCUUUCGUUUGUGUUGUAUAGAUUCCAGGCCACAUUUCUACUUUUUGAGGACAGCUUCCAAACCAUCCACAUGUUCACUUUCUUUUCCACUUCCCUCGGUUUUCACUUCCUACUUCCUUUCCCCAUCUUUUUCCUCUCCAGAUUGUAUGCCAGGCAUUCUUUGCCUAUACUCUGCUUUGAAAUCCUUCCUGCAUUUCCUCUCUAUCUCACAGCUUUGCAAUUUUUGCUACUCUUGCUCCCUUCCUGCGUAUUUCCUUCAUAUCUUGAAUCCCAACUACCUCUCCUCUCCUGCCAAAUCAAAUGCAUCAGCUGAAAGCCACCUGAAAAUCCCUCUUCUCUUCCCAUCUGUGCAACCCCACUAGUUUACCUUUAACAUGCAUUGUUCCUAAGUGAACCCACCAGCUUGCAUGGGGAGAAGGGAUAUUAGUUUAUUCUUCUUUCCUGGCAGCCCUUGAGUACAGGGCUAUGAGCCCCUCUGACAAAUACUGUCCUCCAUGUCAUCAACAUUGGAUUUUGAGUCAGUAGAACUGUGUUCCAUCUUAAACUCUGCCUCUUAUUUACUUGGCUCAGUCACUUAAUUUUUUUGAACCUCAGUUUCCACAUCUAUAAAAGGGCAAUAAUCCCUGAUUUAUCCCAGGGGGCUGAGUGGAGGCAAUGAGGCCAUGUUUGUGCAAGCUCUUCAGCGCGUGGUGGAUGUGACAAUUUUAUUCUUUCACUUGAAAAUUUUAUUCAUAUUUGAGGUCCUGGGAGUAGAGCUUCAUUCUCUUUCUUUACUUUCCUAGAGAUGGGGUCUCAUUUUGUCACCCAGGCUGGAGUGCAGUGGCGUGUUCACUGCAGUCUCGACCUCCUGGGCUCAAGAGAUCCUCCUGCCUAAGCUUCCCAAGUAGCUGAGACUACAGGCUCACACCACCACUUCUGGCUCAUUCUCUUUUAUAGUCUUAAUUUCUUCUGGUUCUACCAGGUUUUUGUUUACUGUUUACGUACACCAACUGAGUUCUCCAGUUUGAUCAGAUCACAGACUUGUCAAGAGGGAGCCUGUAUUAAUAGCAAAGUGGUUAACUGCAUGAUCACCAUCUUCCAACAUUCUGGCUGAAAACCUGACUCCAUCAUUUAGCAGGUGCAGGAAAUUGGGAAAGUCCACUUAUCCUGGACUUCCUGUUUCCUUACCUUUUUCUUCUUUUCUUUUUUUUUUUUUUUUCGAGACAGAGUUUCACUCUCGUUGCCCAGGCUGGAUUGCAAUGGCACAAUCUCCACUCACUGCAACCUCCGCCUCCCAGGUUCAAGCAAUUCUCUUGCCUCAGCCUCCUGAGUAGCUGGGAUUACAGGCGCCUGCCACCAGGCCCGGCUAAUUUUGUAUUUUUAGUAGGGAUGAGGUUUCUCCAUGUUGGUCAGGCUGGUCUCAAACUCCCGACCUCAGGUGAUCCACCCGCCUCUGAGAUUACAGGUGUGAGCCACCAUGCCCAGCCCCUCAUCUUUAAAAUGGGGUGACUUCUGUAGUGAGUGAGGCCACUAAGGAAGGUCACUGUGAUGAUUAUGAGUCCAAAGGAGUGAGAUCUUAGCCCACAUGGUUAUUAGCCCUGCCUCUUUGCCCCUGCCUCGGUUUUCUUCCUUGGUUCCUCCAUUCUCCAUUUCUCACUGUUGUCUCUCUCUUCCUGUCACCCCACGGUGGUGCAAGCUGGUGCUCCCUGCACAUCCAGUAAAAUGUCAGGGGAAAAGUUCAGCCGUUGCAGCCUCCCGAGGGGCUGCUCUCCUUGGGCUGCUGCUGGCUGUGUGGCUCCUCCUUCCUCCCCUGGAUUCUUUCCUGGCAUCCUCCCGUGUUUUCACUGUCUUUCUGAUUAGAGAGUAUGUCAGUGGGGCAGGAUAAUUUACUGAUAUAUUAAUUUGUGUUUUUAUCUCAGCGUUUGCCCUCUGCUCUACAAAGGAAGUCAGGCCUCUCUGUGCCCCUGCCUCGAGGGAGGUUUGUUUUAAAAGUCCAAAGCCAAGACACCUGGCUUUUGUUUCCCCAAAGCUCAAGCUGUGGGAGGAGAUAAUGCCAGCAGGGAGGAAGAGGGGAGAAGCUCGAGGCCUUUGAGAGGAGGGAGAGAGAGAGGCAGGGAGACAGAGAGAGAUUUUGAUAGAUGGAAAGGGGGCGAAGGCCAGAGAAGCAGGCCACUUACAGACAAGCCACAAUCCAUGGCAGCCCCUGCAGAAGCGGCUGCCUCUCAGAGAGGAUGAGCGUGGACCACUGGCCCCUAAUCCCAGGCUGACAGAUGCAGCAAAUGCGCCACCCAAAGUUCCCAGCACCCAACACGCUUGUGGGCAGCACAGCCACAAGAGGGAAGCUCAGGUAGGUGGGGACAGUGGCAAGCAGAAGAGAGAAGAGACAGGGACAGCUAGAACCGUAAAUCAGAACAUCUAAUGUUUGCUGCCCACUCAGAACGUGCUAAGCACCAUUCUAGGAUCUUGGCAAAUAUUAGAAUGGUCACUCCUGAAGACAACCCUCCAUCCCCACAUUCACAGCAGAGGAAACAGAGGAACACAGAAGUAAAUUUUCCAAGAUCACACAACUGGGACAUGGUAAAACCAGAUACAUAGAAAUAUUGAGAGACCACCAAUUUAUUGCAAAAUGCUAAGAACGAAAUACUGCAUAGGCCAAAAAAUAAUACAGAAACUGAAAACACAAACCCCUCUGAGUGCCACUGGAAGAAAACUGCAGCAAGGCCUGGACUCUUUCUAGGCUUCACUAGCUCUGUAAGUGCUAUUCCAUUGUAUUUUGAUCAUGGAAGUAUUAUCUUUCUUCAGAUAAAUCAGAGGUGUGUAUGUUCAGAGCAUAAGGAAUAGCCUGGGAUUUCCCAGUUCCCCUUUCAGUUAUCUGGCUUCCUAAUUUACCCUGUGAACACUACCUGACCUUGCUACAUCUUAUUUACCUUUCUCAUCUGUAAAAUGGGUGUAGGGAAUCACCUAGGCUAGCAUUUAUGAUCACUGAGUACCUGUUCCAUAAUUAGGAGCUGUUAUUAUCAUUGGCAUCCCCAUGUCCAGUCCUGCUUAGUCUUAGAGCCUACCCAGCACCUAGGCUGCCUUUACUAUCUCUGCAGGUCAGACACAGUGCUGGGUGCUGAGUCCUGUCUCUCAAUGCCUCCCCCGUCUAGUUGGAGGAGAGAACCAUGAGCAGAUCUUUAGUGUAAUAUGAUAAGUGCUACAGACAGAAUAAUCCCAGUAUCCCACAGGGGCCCAGGAUGAGGCCCCUAGCCAUACUGCAGGCUGGGAAUGAGGGCAGAUUUCCUGCAGAAGUUAACGGCCUGAGUCUUCACAAACAACGGUAACCUCCGCUGCCUCACAGUGGGGAGUGGGCCAGAGCCUCCCCACUCCCUCUUCCAGCCCUCAAAAAUGGCUCUUGAGCCUGAACACACUCCUAACACCGCCCCAGCAGCUAAUUUGAGAGUUCUGAGCUACGCCUAACUUGCAUCAUUCUGGGCCACAGACCAAGCCAGCAGCGAAGAAGCCAAGAGCGUUCAGGGCUGCCGACGCAUUCCAUAAACCCAAAUUUCCAGUGUUGCCUUGAGUAAGAUGUAUACAGGAAAUUUUCCAUGUGUCAAUUAAGCUCAUUGAGCAUGUGACAUAAAAAGGAAAUGUAAUGUGGGAUUCUGAUUGGCAAAGUUCAAAAGCCUGUGAUUUUGAUACCCAGAUAUAGAUCUGCAAGCUAUUAAGAGUACUUGACUUGCAACAUCCAGAGGUUGUGAAGAAACGCCUGGCACAUCAGAGGAAAAAAAUGCAGCGCUGAAUAGCAGUCUUGGGAAAAUACUUACUUCCCAGAGUAAAAUGUACACAUUAAAUGAGUUCAAGAAGCAACUCAACUGUUCUACUUCUCUAUCAUUUCAAAAUCCCCUAACAGAUGUUCAGUUUUCAAAGAAAAUAAUGUUGCAUUUUGACCGUUUUCCCCUCUAGAUGCCCUAGACGGAUGUGAGGUUGUCAUACUAACCUUGACUUUGAAUUGCUUUUCAGUUCAUGUCAUUGUAAACUUAGCAUAAAACCCCGUGCUUCCCUGGAAAGUAUGUAUCUUGUUGCUAGCACAAUGAUUGAGUCCACUUGUCUAUUCCAGGACACGAGAGGAUCUAACUAAGUCAGAACACCCCACGUCUAGCCCAUAUAUCUAUUUAUUACCGAAUUCACCGGGAAAGACAAGCUGAGUUAUCACUUAGCUGAAAAAACCUGAGAGGCAUUUAUGUGCAUGAAGUACAGCAUAGACAGAACCAUCAAGGCAGGCUUGAAGGAAACACAUUACACACUCAGCCUACACAAAUCGCCUCACCGAUGCCACUGGAGCCGAAUGAAUGGUGCAGGCGACAAGAGCGGCCCUAGGAUGCUUAUCUUCUCCCCAGCCCCCAUCCCAACCCUCAACGAUUACGAAUACAAUCGUUUGUGACAGAUUGCUCCCCAGUCUUCCGCCUUAAAUUCUAUAUGAUAAAUUCAACAUGAAGUGACAGUCACAGCAAGUGUUCAGAGCUCUAUCUAAAAAAACUAAUUUUACUGAAGUUAGGACUCAAUGAACAAGAAAAUGUGAAGGUACACCUAAGGCGGAUCUCAAAACUUUAAUCUCUAUGAAUUCCAUCAUGGUUAUUUACAGCUGGGAUGAUAUUAAUAUUUUAAAAUAUUUCGCUAAAGAAGCACUAUGAGACUUUAAAGUUGUAUUGUUAUGCAAAGGUGGAUAAUAUCUCAAUGGGUCCUCCCCAGUGCUGGUAUGUUAAUGGGGCAAGAGAAAGAGAACAGCUGCUUUUGUUACCCAAGCAGCAGACAUAACAACACUGUCCUGUGGUUAAUUUCUAGGAAAACGCUCUUCUUCCUUUUUUAUUAUUUGGGGGUGAAAAAAUGUCUUGGGCUACUAUUGUCUGUUUAAAUUAGGCAAAUGCAAUUAAGAAGAGUCAAAUGUACACAGGCUCCAAUGAUGGGUAAAAUUAAGGUCACCAGUUGCAGCCCUAAUCCAGCUGCAUUGCUUAAUCUCAGCUUUAGCCAUUACCAUUGUGUGGAAUGGAAAUGUCUUCCUCGUGUUGGGGUUAAUGUGGACUGACUGGGUAGCUGGAGAUCAAUCCUGCAGGCCUGCUUGAAUGUGCAAGUGCUUAACACUGACAUUUUGAAAAAGUAAAAUUGGGUUUCAUUCCCCAGGAUUAGGUCAGAGUCCUUUACUUGUCCCUGCCCCUGCCCCCGACCCCGCCUCCCCAAACUAAGCAGAGAGCAGAAGAACAUUUUUUCUUGCCAAUUGUUUUUUUUUUUUUUUCCCCCUCAGGGAUCCUUCGCAUUUGCCAUUUGUGUACAUCUCUUGCUCAUUCCAAACAGGAAAGUUCUGUUGCCUCAGAAAAAAUAGCUUGUCUGAGCCCUCAGAAAAAAUAGCUUGAAAAGGAACUUGUCUUCCUUUUCAUAUUCAUAAAGGUUAUAUUUGUGUGGCUUGAUAUUAUUUUACCUUGUUAAGGAGUUGUUUCAGGUACUCAGUAGAUAUAGAGAAAACAUUUAGCAUAUAAAAACAAAAAGUUGACAUUUACAGCCAGGAGCUAGGUACGCAAUUGCAAAGGUCAUCAAUGAGUAAACAGAUAUUAAUGGUUAGCCGGAUAACUGGUACAUAAACAGGUCACAUUAAUAAUUAACACCAGGAAAAGCUAGCACUUCCAACCAAGCUCAGGAAAGUGGGUGCCAGAGGAACCCCCCGAAAAAUAUAAGAAAACCCCAGUGGUGAUUUCUGAUUGUUAGAGAGUGAGAAAAUUACUUCUUCAUUUUUACAUUUCUCAUAUUCUCACCAAAAAACAGUUCUGAGACAGUCAUGAUAGGAAGUAAGUGCAAGGAUGGAGGGAAUUUUCUGGACGAUCAUUGAUCUGGUAAAUUGUACUUAGUCUAACAUUUGUGGUUCCCUUGUUUUCCUUCCAUGGCAAUGGGUAAAAUCACUCAGGAAAUUUAUUUUAUCACUAACCUGCAAAGCCUCUGUAAAAGUAUUUGCUUCCUCAUUGAGUUAUUAAGUCCAUGCCUUGUUUUAAAACUUCUGCGCUAAGAGGGUUACAUUUUGUACCUGCUGAUUGGCAUUCACCCAGUUUUUUAAUGGGAAAAGGUCAAGUCCAAGCUGUAGACAGGAAGGCAAAGGUGUUGGGGAUGUGGCAGGGAAUCCUGGUGAGUGAAGUGGGUGCCCCAGGCACCCUGAGGAACCUGGGAGUGAAUGUGCCUUAGCCCCACAGCGAGCCCCUAAGAGCCACAGCAUCAUAUCUUUUGAUUUUUUAAAGAAGCCAUAUUUUGUGUGAAAUCUCUAGAUUUAUAACUCAUGGGCCAAACAAUACGUUAUCUACUGCAGGCCACACCAGGCCAGUUUAAAUCUCCUGUUUAAAUUAAAAACAAAUAAAUAAACAAACAAAAAAGAACGCCCGAAAAUUUGCCAAUGAGGAGGAAAGUCUGAGUGUAUCUCUACAAUUUAUUCAACGGUUUCUCUUCUCCUUUAAAUACACAGUUCACUAUAGGAUUGUCCUAAAGAGAAAACUAAUAAAAUAAGACAAUAGACUUCAUAGAGAACUGGAAUAUCCGCAAGGACCUGAAACGGAUCCUCGGAACUCCGUAGAUAAAAGUCAGAUGAGAUACUGUUAUACAUGUAGCCUAAUGGUUUACAGAUGAAUGAGUAGCACUGCUUUCAAAUAUAAUGUGAAGAAACCAAUUUUUAAAUAAAUGUGUAGCUUGACUAUCAAGCCCACAGGAGAUACUGUGACUUACCCAACCUGAAAAUCAAAUUAUUUAAGGCUGGUCAUACUAAUAGCAGCCUCUAACCAACCGCUAAGGUGGACUAUCAACCCAGACUAGCCACAGGCAGCAAACGAGAUGGGUUCAAGAGGAAAUGGAAAGAAAUAAGAUACAAGGCUUGUUUACUAGUUAAAUGUGGGUAGACUUCAACAGAUGUGAACUACAAAGUGUAUAUGGGAACUUGUUUCUUGCUGAAGGACGAGUGUUGGCCAAAUGUCCUCAUAACCUGGUGCCUCUCCACUUCUCCACAGCCACAUCCCCACCACACGGUACCUUGUCACCACUGACAACAGCCCCAGAGAGCCAUGCUUUCUCCUGUCUCCCAGACUCUCUUCACCUCGAGUAUCUCCAUGUCACCCUUACUUUCGC